GGAUCAAAUACUCAUCACUGGCUUUCCACUGCUGAAGAUAUUCCUUGAAUUUUCCCUGAUAGUCCUUCACUCUCUCCCAGUCCAGGCGACGAAUUCCACUCUCUUUCACUGCCCUUGGGUCCCACAAGCCACACUCUUCUUUCUUCACAAUAACUCUUCAGCUGUAAUACUCCACACACAUUUCCCGAUGGGAGAGACCACUCCAGAUCAACGGAGAAGGAGGCACGGCACGGCACGGCACGGCAAUGGAGUUGAGUUCAUGAGUGAAGAGUGAUGUAGAGUGAUGAAGAGGACGCUGUUUGAGUGUGUUGAGUCACUGAUGAUAGUGGGCGGGGCCAGUAAAGCUGAUGAUCAAUGAUAAGAGAUGAAGAAAGAGGAAGAAAGUCAAGCAGUCACAUGUAGAGACACACAGACAACAUUCAGCAUCAAGAAGAUCAACAGAGCUGCUGUGAAGCUGAACUCAAGUCACAAUGAACAUCCUCCUCAUCUUCACUUUCUUCAUCAUCUCAGGUCACAACUUUUCUCUUUCUCAUCAUGUCAUCAUACACUUAUUUAACUCAUUUAUAUCACUGGCACACACAUUAAGGGACUAGAUGAGCUAUCUGACACGAUCAAUCUGAUUGACUGCUGUGAGAUGCUUCGAUGUGAUUGGAUAUUCCAGAGGAAGUGUUCUUGUGGAUUCACAGAAACCUUGGCACAAAAAUAGUGCUAAAUAUAUGCAUGCGAAAGACCAGUGGGAAAUGAUAUAAAAAAAAAUAAACAAGAUCAGUGGAUAGCUGAAGGGAGAUUUACUUUGUAUUGUAACGAUGGACACUUGAUGAUCUACAUCAGAGAUGUUAACACACAGGAUUCUGGAACAUACCGGAUCGGGGUUGAUGGUCAAUGGUACAUUGAUAUUUCUUUAGAUAUAAAAGAAGAUUCAUGUUGUGGGGCGUCACAGACAGUGAUGGUGAAUACUGGACAAACUGCAUACUUCACCUGUCAAUAUUCAAAAGAUUAUAGAAUUUAUGACAAGAUAAUGUACAGAGAAAGAAAAGAAUAUGUUGAGGUGAUUUACAGCACAUGGCAGAAGGAUGAGCGAUUCAGUAUUUCUGAUAAAAAAUAUAAGAAUCUCUUCAGUGUGAAAAUGAUUGAUAUGGGAUUUGAAGAUGCCGGAGUUUAUUUAUGCAGAGUUUGGCGUGACACAGACUCCUACAGUUACUCCAUUCUUACUGCUGUUCAUCUUCACAUUAUGAUGCCUCCAGUGUUUGGAGAUGAAGGAGGAUCUGCUCAGAUCAUCUGUCCUUAUGAUCACAUCUAUAAAUCAAAGACAAAAAAACUGAUGAAGAGUUGAACAGAUGAAAAUACUCUCAUGGAGAUGAACAGAUGGAGUGUGAAUGAUGACACGACAGCAAGUGUGUUUAGUGUGAACAUCACUGGACUGACAGCAGAGGAUGCUGGGAAAUACUGCUGUGCAGUGACAUUAGAAACAGACGUGAUCUAUCUUUACACUCAUCUCAUUAUUAUCAUCAAACAGGAACUUCUCUUGAAUAAGAGUGAAGGAGACAACAUGUCAAUGGAGUGCAAACAUCACGCUGAAUAUCAGAAAGUCUUCUGUAAAGCACAUGAAGUCUCAAUGUGUGUCAAUGAUGGAGUUUCAUUACAGUCAAUCAGAGAUGAUGGAUUCUCUUUAAGUGAUGAAACAUCUACUGGAGUCUUUACUGUAAACAUCAGUCAUCUGAGAGAAGAGCAUUCUGGGAUAUACUGGUGUGGAUCAAACAUCAUCACUAAAGUGCAUCUAAACGUCGUGAGAGGUGAGAGAAUUUCAUUUCAUGUGUAAGCACUCCAACAUGAUUUGAAUACUUUCAUCAUGCUUCGCAGGUUCUCAUUGAUCACAAACAGAUUUAAAAGGUGUAACUAUAUGCUGAUUUCUACACUUUUUCAAACAGUAUUUCACUGAAAUGCAAAAGUUCUCUCAUUUAAUUUAUUCGUGGUGAUGCCAUUUCAGAUGUUUAUGACUUUCUUUCUUCAGCUGAAAGAAAACAUGUAAGAUCUCUGAUAGCACACAUACAUCGGGGAGAUGUUUAUCUGAGGGUGACGCUGCUUUCUUGACAUUUCAACAAUUUUUUCAACAUUAAUUGUUGUAAUUUAUUCAAUACAAUUAAUUAUAACAAUGAUUCAAUUAUUGCUUG